GGUAAGUUCUCUUUUAGCACACAUCCUACGAUACUUCUCUCUUACAAAAACAAGUUAUUAGAUGAUUAGGUUUGGUCUGCUCCAUUUCGCAUUUUUUGGUACCGGCUUUACUAGAGUUGUUUUGACACACUGGAUGAUGACAUACAACGGGUGUCAAAGGUCAACAAGUCAAUGUACAAUAGCUUUUUGCAACAAAGAGAGGCGUAAAUAGAAAUGGAAGCAAUUCUAUUUACAAAAGGUAAACAAGCCAUUGUCCAGUCGCUCUUUGCAACAAAAAAAAGGCGAGAAUCCAAAUACCAGCUUCAUUAUAGUUGUUUCAACAAGUUGGGUGAUGACAUACAACGGGUAUGAAAGAAAGCUUUUCAUGACCUUGAAAUUCUAUCACACUAACAAGCCCUCGCUAACACGCCACUUAUUUACAGUUAUUGAAUUAUGCAUUACCUUCAUGGGUUUAGGUUUUUUGACAAUUUUAGAAGAAUAUACACAUAAAAGUGGACGUAUUGUGGGAAAGGGUUGUGCAACUUUGCUUC